rnacentral:rRNA from 1 species
GACGAACGCUGGCGGCGUGCUUAACACAUGCAAGUCGAACGGAAAGGCCCUGCUUUUGUGGGGUGCUCGAGUGGCGAACGGGUGAGUAACACGUGAGUAACCUGCCCUUGACUUUGGGAUAACUUCAGGAAACUGGGGCUAAUACCGGAUAGGAGCUCCUGCUGCAUGGUGGGCGUUGGAACGUUUCGGCGGUUGGGGAUGGACUCGCGGCUUAUCAGCUUGUUGGUGGGGUAGUGGCUUACCAAGGCUUUGACGGGUAGCCGGCCUGAGGGGGUGACCGGCCACAUUGGGACUGAGAGACGGCCCAGACUGCUACGGGAGGCAGCAGUGGAGAAUAUUGCACAAUGGGCGGAAGCCUGAUGCAGCAACGCCGCGUGCGGGAUGACGGCCUUCGGGUUGUAAACCGCUUUCGCCUGUGACGAAGCGUGAGUGACGGUAAUGGGUAAAGAAGCACCGGCUAACUACGUG